CUUUCCUGUUCUCCACGUUACUGCUUUCUUCGAGACCCUUUUCUGGAGUUACUCCCAGCAAGCUGUUACUCAGACGUCCUGUUGGUUAAUAAAGCUGUCCCUGCAGCAGUUCUGCUAUUGUAUAGGCUCAGUCUUAAAAUAGUGGGCUUGAUGUGACGUAUUUCUUCAUAAUAUUGUGUAUGUGCAGCCUCUGUGUAAUUGCAUUAUGCACCUUUAUUGCAUAGUUGAAGCAGUGGCAGGAAAGGAUGCCAUGUGUGUUACUGGGAGAUUAUUCAGUGGGUAUUUUUUCUCACUCUUCCGUUUCAGUACCAGUGAAGGACAAGAAACUUCUGGAGGUCAAACUGGGGGAGCUGCCAAGCUGGAUCUUGAUGCGGGACUUCAGCCCUAGUGGCAUUUUCGGAGCGUUUCAAAGAGGUUACUACCGGUACUACAACAAGUACAUCAAUGUGAAGAAGGGGAGCAUCUCGGGGAUUACCAUGGUGCUGGCAUGCUACGUGCUCUUCAGCUACUCCUUUUCCUACAAGCAUCUCAGUGAGUGCCUCUGCGGCGUCUUGCCUUCAGUUCCCAUGAGAGGGUGGUGGUGACUGAUUUCAUUAGAUACAGCAGCCAACCUUCUUCUGAGGCUGAGGGACCUUUAGUAAGUUCCUUAUGUUUCUACCUAAAAGAAUUGGAGGGACCUAUCAGAGUACAGUAUGUGGGAUAUGGUUUGAAAUGAGAAAAUUGUGACAAAGAGAAU
rnacentral:sRNA from 1 species